GACGAACGUUGGCGGCGUGCUUAAUACAUGCAAGUCAACUGAAGCAGUGGUAGCAAUAUCGCUGUGGAGGUGGCGCACGGGUGAGUAACACGUAGGUAAUCUGCCUUCAGGUCUGGCAUAACUCCGGGAAACCGGGGCUAAUAGCAGAUGAUGCAGCGGCUCGACAUCGAGACAGUUGUUAAAGCUAUGGCGCCUGAAGAUGAGCCUGCGUCUGAUUAGCUAGUUGGCGGGGUAACGGCCCACCAAGGCAACGAUCAGUAGCUGGUCUGAGAGGAUGAUCAGCCACACUGGAACUGAGACACGGCCCAGACUCCUACGGGAGGCAGCAGUAAGGAAUAUUGCUCAAUGGGAGAAAUCCUGAAGCAGCAACGCCGCGUGAGGGACGAAGGGCUUUUGCUUGUAAACCUCUGUAGUGAGAGAAAAAAAUCCCAAUCUUUGGGACAUGAUGGUAGCUCAAAAGUAAGCCCCGGCUAACUACGUG
rnacentral:rRNA from 1 species